rnacentral:lncRNA from 1 species
CUGAUUCUGGCGUGUGCUGUCUCUGACUCUGGCUCCGUAGGUGGGUGGGGGAGUGUAGAUCAGCUGAUAUUUGGGUGGGAGCUUUCUCAACCCCUUAUAGUGUGGAAAUUUCCAAAUUCCACAUACCUUCAAUGCUGCACCCUACUCUAGAGUCCCUUUGUUCUUACGAAUUUGGUGGGUUUAUUUUUUGGUCUUUUGAGGUAGUCUAUUUCUGUGGGUGCUGAGGAGAGGAAGAAUCUUAUGUCUAGACUGCCGCCAUGUUUAUCCAGAAGUCCUGACAAACAAUCAGAACAGAGCUGGAUUGAGUUCAGACAAAUCAAAGGGAGAACAGUGGAAGGAAACCUAGAUGAGUAUUAAAGUGCUACAACUACUACUCUUUUCUAUGAAUUUGAUGGUUCUGGCUCAAGUGGACUAUCCUUGCCAUCUGAAGACCUAGUAAUGCUUGAUACUACAACUGUCAUGAUGCCAUUCCUGUCAGGUCCAGGCCAAAGAAGCAAUUCUCCGUGGCAAGGCCCGCAGCUGCCUUGCUCUAGUGCUCCCUCCAUUCAUAGGCAGGGAGGGAGUGGUCAGCUCAUACAAGAUUGGUUUAAAAGGAAAAUCAAUACUGGUUCCUCAUCCCCUCUAAGGCAGUGAACUAGAUUGGCCCGGAUCCAAGGAGGAAAGACUCAAGUGGAAAAGAUUGGCUGCCAGUGAGAAAGAGAUUCUGCUAUGCAUACCAGCCAUUUGGGCUCCUGCCACUGAACACAUCACUGGGAGGCUGAGGUAACCUGGCUUACCUCCCACCAUCUGGUUUGGAGUGAACAAAUAAAUAUUGGGAAAUUAUAAAUCA